GGAACAUAACAGACUAAACGGAUGAAGUGCCUUACCUAAAGAAGACCAUAUGUCUCUCAAAUAUUUAUUGUUUCCCUCAGGCAAUGGCGUAGAAGGAAAAGUUUUAAUAGCAAAAAGAACUAAAAAACACAGCUACCUAAAGUCAAACUGUCUUUUGCAGGAGGCUUAGUUUUCUCAAAAAGAAGAUAAUGGUAAAUGCAUAAGCAUGAUGAACUGAUCCCUAAUAUACAUGAUGAAGAUCUUUUCAUACAUUUAUUUGUCAACUGUAUAUUUUCAUUGACAAAUGGAAACAGAAACUACUCUAGAUCAUAGUAAAUCAAAACUGUCUGCGAGAAUUCCCCAUCCCACCACCUUGUAUGAAGGCCAGCUUAUGAUCAUAGAUUCUUAGUGGAGACUUAUCCCCCUCAAGCCAGUAUUAAGGCCAAGCACUGGAAGUAUACAUAUGAAGAAAGCCAGCCUCAAAAUAUAAAUGGCCUGCACAAAGAUAUACAGCUACAGAAUGCCAUGCACAAGUUGCCAGCUGUAAUCUGUCAACAAAGUCUUCAAUCCUGAUUGUUUCAUCAAUUGAAUGAUGAAUUUGUUUUCCAAUGGCAUGAAAAUCAAGUUACUAUAAAAGUGUACUUUUAAGACAUGUAACAUUUAUUUUAGGGUGAUGACAGAAAUAGUCAAAUACAUAAGUGAUGUAUCCAAA